rnacentral:pre_miRNA from 2 species
UCCCCCAAAACAUCCAUAUCGCUAUAUCUCUCCUAAUUAGGUUGAAUCGAAACAGCCAACACUUUCAGUUGAUUCAAAUAUUAGUUUGUUUCUGCAUAAUUUGGAGAGAAAAUGGCGACAUAGAUGUUUUCGGCGAU